rnacentral:misc_RNA from 1 species
AAUGUGCCAAAACAGACCACAAGGACCACGACUGGAAAACAAUUCCCACAGCAGGAAGUCUUAGGAGAAGAGAGCUAAAGAAAACUCUGAGUAAGGUUAAGGAGAAAGAUAUUGCAGAGAUUGAUGAGAAAAUAAAGAAGGCAUCCAAACAAAGGGAGGGCAACAAAAAAUGUUGCGAUUCUGAGGUCUCUAAACUUCAGAAACAUUAUGAUGCGAUUGUGUGUCAAAACUUGAUGAAAUCAAGAAGAAUUUGGAGACUAAACUGGUGGAAAAUCUGGAAAGAAAAAAUGCUGAAGUGAGUAAGAAAAAACUAGAUUUAGAAAAGAAAAGAGACCAUAUCAAGGAUCUUGUGGAAUUCCUGGAAGACAAACACGGUACCAUGUCUGACUAUAGUUUGAUAGACAACCUCAGAGACUUGACCAACCUCGUGUCAAACACAGAUAGUGAUAUAGAGAGGGGUGAUCAUUCGGUCAGAUACAGAGGAGGGGACAUCAGUGAGGGGUCUCUGGACUCCAUAAUGGGACAAACGUUUGAUUUGGAUGAUUUCAGAGUUACCGAGACAGAUUCAUUUCAAUAUGGAGAUGAAUGUUUAUAUGUGUUUGAGGCAAUAAAAAAAGAUGUAUGUUUGGUGAGAGCUCUUGAAUCAGAAUGCAUGGAGCUAAUAAACAUAGGAAAUAAGGAAGUAGAAAAAUCCAAUGUCCGUGGAGAUGAUGUAUGUGUAACCGCCAAUGGUGAUGUGUAUGCCACUGAUUAUGAUAACAACUGUGUCGUCCGUCUGUCCCCGUCAGGCUCAGUCUCUACAGUAUUCAGUACAGCUCCACUGCUACCAGUGGGAAUCUGUCAAUCCACUGGAGGACUACUGGCCACAUUGGUAGAUGAUAAAACAAAAAAAUAUCAUCCGGACUCAAAGAGUAGACGUCUGGUCAUACACGUGACACUGACCGGUGACGUCAUCCGUGAGUACGAGUACCAGGAGGACGAUCAGACCAUGCUGUUUACUGUACCAUGGAGAGUCAAACAGAACGGUAACACUGACAUUUGCGUAGUGAACAGGACAAGUCAAUCUACUGGUGAACUGGUGAUCCUAUCCUCCUCUGGAUUUCUAAAGUCUGUCUACCAUGGACAGAAUCUGAACUUUAAUCCAACUGAUGUUGUUUUUGCCUCACACUGCAACAUCAUUGUUACUGACUUUGAUGAGAGUAAGAUACAUCUGCUGAGUCCUGAUGGGGAGUUCAUGAAGUACCUGCUGACAGAGAAUGAAGUACCAAAUCCAUAUUCCAUGUCUCUGUAUCAAUCCACGUUGUGGGUAGGGGACUACCAAGGACUCAUCAAAGUCUUUCAGUUCAAUAACGCUUAAAAUCACGUCAUACUUGUUUUAUGAUAAUCUCAAAAUUCAAAUGUUUUUCAAGAAUCAAAAAAUGUAUACCGCUUUGUAUAACUUCUUAACACACAUAUUUUAAAUGAUAGAGUAAAUAUUGUAAAACAAUUAUUGUAUUUGAGGUUGUCACUGUAAGGAAAGAAUCAACCGGAAAUGUGUUUAAUUCAUGCAAUUGUACAUGUAUGUAUAAUAACCCUGGUUGGCAAUGCUAAACUUCAAAGGGAGAAGGCUUACAUAGGCAUUGCCUGCUGCCUAAUCCAUUUAUGUAAAUGUAUAUUUGCAUAAUAAAAUAUGUUCAAAUC